ensembl:lncRNA
GAGGUAGUACCCCUGGUGAGUGUUGAGGUAGUAUCCCUGCUGAGUGUUGAGGUAGUAUCCUUGCUGAUUGUUGAGGUAGUAGCCCUGCUGAGAGUUGAGGCAGUAUCCCUGCUGAGUGUUGAGGUAGUAGCCCUGCUGAGAGUUGAGGCAGUAUCCCUGCUGAGUGUUGAGGUAGUAGCCCUGCUGAGAGUUGAGGCAGUAUCCCUGCUGAGUGUUGAGGCAGUAUCCCUGCUGAGUGUUGAGGUAGUAGCCCUGCUGAGUGUUGAGGUAGUAUCCCUGCUGAGUGUUGAGGUAGUAUCCCUGCUGAGUGUUGAGGUAGUAGCCCUGCUGAGUGUUGAGGUAGUGUCCCUGCUGAGUGUUG